ACACCGGCAGCUCUAGUGGUAGCAGUUUUUAUUGGGCCUAAAGCGUCCGUAGCCGGUUUAAUAAGUCUCUGGUGAAAUCCUGUAGCUUAACUGUGGGAAUUGCUGGAGAUACUAUUAGACUUGAGACCGGGAGAGGUUAGAGGUACUCCCAGGGUAGAGGUGAAAUUCUGUAAUCCUGGGAGGACCGCCUGUUGCUAAGGCGUCUAACUGGAACGGGUCUGACGGUGAGGGACGAAAGUGAGGGGCGCGAACCGGAUGAGAUACCCGGGUAGUCCUAACUGUAAACGAUGCGGACUUGGUGUUGGGGUGGCUUUGAGCUGCUCCAGUGCCGAAGGGAAGAUGUUAAGUCCGCCGCCUGGGAAGUACGGUCGCAAGACUGAAACUUAAAGGAAUUGGCGGGG
rnacentral:rRNA from 1 species